rnacentral:rRNA from 1 species
AACGUGGCUGUGUGCCUAAGGUAUGCAAGUCGAACGAUCCCUUUCUGAUUUCUAGUAACUUCGGUUGCUAGUUUUCUAUCUGGGAUAGUGGCAAACGGGUGAGUAACACGUAGAUAACUUGCCUCGAAGUCGGGAAUAGCUCGUCGAAAGACGGGGUAAUAUCCGAUGGUCUCUAACCACUUCGUGUGUUUUAGAGUAAAGCUUUUGUGCUUCGAGAGAGGUCUGCGUCCUAUCAGCUAGUUGGUAAGGUAAUGGCUUACCAAGGCUAAGACGGGUAGCUGGUGUGAGAGCACGGUCAGCCACCAUGGAACUGAGACACGGUCCAUACUCCUACGGGAGGCAGCAAUUAGGAAUCUUGCGCAAUGGGGGCAACCCUGACGCAGCGACACAGCGUGGAGGAUGAAGGUCUUCGGAUUGUAAACUCCUUUUAUAUGGGAAGAAUAGAUGACUGUACCAUAUGAAUAAGGACCUGCUAACUACGUGCCAGAAGCAUCGGUGAUGCGUAGGGUCCGAACGUUAUCCGGAUUUAUUGGGUGUAUAGAGAUGCGUAGGCGGUUUGAUAAGUCUUGAGUUAAAGACCUCGGCUCAACCGAGGAAAAGCUUUCGAUACUAUCAGACUUGAGGCAUAGAGGGGUGAACGGAAUUCCGAGUGGAGUGGUGAAAUACGUUGAUAUUCGGAGGAACAUCAGUGGCGAAGGCGGUUCACUGGCUAUUGCCUGACGCUCAGGCUCGAAAGCGUGGGUAGCAAAACGGAUUAGAUACCCGUGUAGUCCACGCUGUAAACUAUGGAUGCUAGGUGUUCGGUACAACUGUUUUUAAUCUUCGGAUUUUAAACGGGAGUGCUGAGUGCCGCAGCUAACGCGUUAAGCAUCCCACCUGGGAAGUACGGCCGCAAGG